CGCGUAGGCGGCUCUGCACGUCCGUUGUGAAAUCGCCCGGCUCAACUGGGCGGGGUCAGCGGAUACGGCAGAGCUCGAGCAAGCUAGGGGGCAAUGGAAUUCCCGGUGUAGUGGUGGAAUGCGUAGAUAUCGGGAGGAACACCAGUGGCGAAGGCGGUUGCCUGGGGCUUUGCUGACGCUGAGGCGCGAAAGCGUGGGAGCGAUCC
rnacentral:rRNA from 1 species